rnacentral:lncRNA from 1 species
UCUCAAACUCCUGACCUCAGGUGAUCCACCCACCUCGGCCUCCCAAAGUGCUGGGAUUACAGGCAUGAGCCACCACGCCUGGCCUGACAAAGUUCUUAAGAAUUUCAUCCUUUACUUUUAUUUCUAUUUCUUUACCAUUUUAUGAAACUUGUGCUGUAUUGACUUUACUUAAUGAGUUUCACUCACACUGUCUCUAAGAAACAAGCUACUAGGGAGGCUGAGGCAGGAGAAUCGCUUGAACCCAGGAGGUGGAGGUUGCAGUGAGCCGAGAUCGCGCCACUGCACUCUAGCCUGGGCAACAGAGCAAAACUCUGCCUCAAAAAAAAAAAAAGAAAAAGAAAAAAAAGAAAAAAGAAACAAGCUACCGUGUGGGACAAAAUAUAAACCAAGAAGGAUGAACAUAUAAAUCCUCCAGUAUAAGUUCAAGUACCAUCUCCUCCAGGGAGUUUUCUUGAUUCCUAAAAGGUAAGGGUAAUCUCUUCUCUUAUAGUAUGUGAUUUUCUUUUGACUGUUGUCUCAUUCAAUAUUAUACUAUGUAAAAAUCUCAUCUCCUCUACUACAUUAAAUGUAUCUAGGCCAGGGCAGUGGUUCAUGCCUGCAAUCCUAGUACUUCAGGAGGCUGGGGUGGGAGGAUCACUUGAGACCAGGAGUUUGAGAUCAGUCUGGCCAACCAAGUGAGAUCCUGUCUCUAUGAAAAUUUUAAUAAUUAGCCAGAGGUGGUGGUGUGCACCUGUAAUCUCAGUUACUUGGGAGGCUGAGGUGGAGGAUGGCUUGAGCCAGGAGUUAGUCUGUAGUAAGCUAUGAUUGUGCCACCAGCCUGGGUGACAGAGUAAGACCCUGUCUCCAAACAAACAAACAAAUAAAGGUACCUAAAAACAGGAGCUAUUUCUGUUAUCUUUAUCAUCCCAUACCAGGCACAAAAAAUAUGGAUCGUAAAAUGAAAGAACCAAACAGGGGAAAAACCUUAAUGAAAAACCUUAAUGCAAAGUUAACUAAUAUAGAUGAUGAUAGUGCUAUUCUCCCAAACUAACCUUAUAAAGAUACAAUAAAAAUGUAUUAGGAAUCUAAAGUAAAAAUAAAAUAUAGCACCGUUACAUGAUUAUUCUGUGAUUUUAGGUUUGUACAUGACUACUUUAUUUUUUACACACUCAAAAGAUGUAGUAUGCUAUGCUGCAUUUAGUAAGAAGUGAAAAGUAUAAAUUUUUACCACAUCAGACUCUGGAGAAAAUUCCAAAUACAAGGCCAGUUUCCAGAAGAGACCUGAAUUGUCCAACAUGAGUAGCUGCUCUGAGCAAUUUGCCUGUAGAAUGUUUGCAUAUCAAAGAAGCUGUUGCUAGGUGAACACAUCACAGAGGUACAAAGAAAAAGGACCUUCUAAAGUGUUACAGUAAAACCUGUAGCUCUGGCUGGGCGCAGUGGCUCACGCCUGUAAUCCCAGCACUUUGGGAGGCCAAGGCGGGUGGAUCACAAGGUCAAGAGAUUGAGACCAUCCUGGCCAAUAUGGUGAAACCCUGUCUCUAUUAAAAGUAUAAAAAUUAGCUGGGCGUGGUGGCAGGCGCCUGUAGUCCCAGCUACUCAGGAGGCUGAGGCAGGAGAAUCGCUUGAACCCGGGAGGCGGAGGUUGCAGUGAGCUGAGAUCACGCCAUUGCACUCCAGCCUGGGAGACAGAGCAAGACACCAUCUCAAAACAACAACAACAACAACAAAAACAUGUAGCUCUUUCUCCAAUUAAUGAAGUGAAAACACAAAUGAUUUUCAUCAAGCAUUAGUACUUUAAGUAAUCUUAAGAAAGUGAUCCCACCAAAAGUGAACAGUCCAGUAAACGUGAAAAUCAUAUUUUGGGCUUCUUUUGUGAAAUUCUUGGCUAGGUCAAAUAUUGUACUCCAAUACAUACAUCUCAUCAAGGUAGAAGUACUUCGAAAGAAGGGGAAAUGAUGUUUCCAUUUACUAUUCCUAAAGCAUUAGAUGUGUUAAAAAACUGGGAUUCUGGCCAGGCGCGGUGGCUCACGCCUGUAAUCUUUCUUUAUAUGUAAAUAUUACUUUAAGAUAAAUUCCUAAACUGGGAGAGGUGGCUCACGCCUGUAAUCCCAACGUUUUGGAAGGUCAAGGUGGGAGGAUGGUUUGAGGCCAGGAGCUGGAGACCAGUCUGGGCAACAUAGCAAGACUAUCUCUACAGGAAAAUUUUUUAAUUAAUCAGGGGUGGUGGCAUGUGCCUAUAGUCCCAACUACUCAGAAGGAUCACUUUAGCCCAGGAGUUCAGGGUUGCAGUGAGCUGAUUGUGUUACUGCACUCCAGCCUGGGUGACAGAGUAAAAUCCUGUCCAAAAAAAAAAAAUCCUGGAAGUGGAAUUACAAUGUCAAAGAAAAUACAAAUUUAAAAUUUUCGGGCCAGGUAUGGUGGUUCACACCUGUACCAAUCCCAGCACUUUGGGAGGCCAAGGAAGGCAGAUCACGAGGUCAAGAUUGAGACC